UGGACAGUAACGAAGUAAAUGUAAUUCGUUACUGUACUUAAGUAGUUUUUUUGCGUAUCUGUACUUUACUCAAGUACUUUUAUUUUGGGAGACUUUUACUUUUACUUUACUACAUUUUAAAGUCAAAUAUCUUACUUUUUACUCAACUACAUUUUGAAAAUUCGGUCGUUCCUUUUUAUUUAUCAGUGGAUAAAAAUACUUAACUGGACAAACUACAGCUGCACAAAAAAAAUAAUAAGAUGCACGCGUGACACGUCAAACCACCAAUCAGGGUACAGCAUGCGCUUUGUUUUAAACUUGUUUUGGUUGCCGCGCUGGUUCACGUAAGCUACGCAAGUGCAGCAGUCAGCGUAUCGUUUGGAGAAUAAAUCCGCAUUCACAAACAACGGAGGAAAUAACUUGACCCGCCACAACAACAAUGGCCUUAUUUACGCUAGUUUUUAAAGUCCUUGAAUAAAAGAACGAGUCCUUUGUGUCUUCUCUGCCUGCCUUGAAACUGUGCUAUUUCUUUUAACAAGAACACUCCUUCAAAUCUAAGAAAACGCGUAGAGAGAAAGCAUGGUAGCCAACAUUAAAAGGUAUGUUACUGUAAAAUCAUCAAGGAAAAGAAACCUGGAAAGUGAGGAGGCUCCAUCAACCUCCAGAUAGUAAAAGAAAACUCCUGUGAACCUGUGCUUAAUUCAAGUUUUUACUACACUUAGGGGUGGUUUCCCGGACAGGGAUUAGCUUAAGCCAGGACUAGGCCGUAGUUUAAUUAGGAAAUAUAACUAGUUUUAACAAACAUGCCUUACUAAAAACGUUACCUGUGUGCAUUUUGAAGUAAAAUAAAGGGCCCUGAUGUAUUUUAAGAUAUGUAAGUGUAAGUUGUUUUCAGUUUGGACAGCUCUUUCAUUUAUUUUAGUCUAGGACUAGUCUAAUCUCUGUCCGGGAAACUGCCCCUUAAACUGUUAAAUAAUUUAACAAAUAAAUCUUGAAAUGAGA